GCAAGAUGGCGACGUCGGACGGCCAACUCUGAGCUUCAAAAUCACUCUUCAGAGCCUAUGGGUGACAUCACGGAAGCUACGUCCAUCUUUAUUUACAGAUAGACCCGAUCCACCUUCACAAACUGAACCUGAGCCGAAAACAAGCGUAUCCACUGUCAGGCAGCCGGAAGGAGGGAGAAAUAUGCGGAGCGCUGCGAAUCAAGACGCCUGACAAUCUGCAAAGACUUCGGACGACAAUAUUCAUAACUUGGAAUACUUUUAUGAGAAUCCCUUUGGAUUUUUUAUGUGUGGACACUAAAGGAAUAUAAAAAAUGGAGGACCAGACAGACAGUUGACAGCCAGGACCUGGUCGUAUUCACUGAGCGCCACCAGGAAGAUAAUGGAGGUGACGUUCUCAAAGCAGUGGAUCCACUUCCUCCGCUCUGACCUCUGACCCCCCACAUCCACCAUCCUGCCGGAACAACAGCCAAUCCCAACAACAGAAGAGGCAUGCCACAUCAUAAGUCACCUGUGAUGCAGUUCCAGUGUAAUAUAGAGCUGGAGAGAGCAGAAUCUCUGACUGACGCUCACUAUUUGGUGGAGUCAGACAGCUGGUACUCCCUGCGUCGGUCGUAGCACUCCUG